rnacentral:tRNA from 1 species
GCGGGUAUGGUUUAGUGGUAGAAUGACACACUUCCAAUGUGUAGACCCGAGUUCGAUUCUCGGUACCCGCACCA